UCCACGCAUAUGAAAAAUGAGGUAUAAAUGUGAACCUUGUGUCCAUUAUCUCUCUUUUGGUGCUUCUUCUUGUUUUUAAAGGUAAUCAGUGUACACUAUCACAAAUUGCAUGGGCAAGGUGGUCGAGAAGCCUAACUGAUAAAGUCUUAUUUGGCUGCUUUCUAUCUCCAAAACAUAUUUUUCCUUCUGUUUCGUUGGAGAUUUGAACUAUGAUGCAUUGGUUCUUGUACAAUUGUUGACGCUUGAAAAUGUCAGACUAAAAGAGUGCUGAAUCCCAUAGCUUGUACAAAUCAGAGUUAAAGAUUCCUGGCAUUUGAAAAGCAUAUAGUUAUAUACUGAAACAAUAUCAAGUUCAUUCUAUGUCUGAGCUUUCAAAAUUCAAAAAAUGAAUAUAAACUUAAAAACAUGUUGGAGAUAAAUAUUAAUGACCUGAAUUGUCUGAGUAUUUGUUAAAUCUUUAUUUGAUGCAAUUCCGUCCUGACUCCAUCAUUAGAGCAUGCUAAAUCUCUGGAGCUGUCAAGCGUUAGUGUCUAAUGUGUUCUCUUCAUUAAUAUUUUACUUACUGAAAAGGUACUGACAUGGAUACUUCACUCAAAAUUCUAGUUACUCUACAGUUCAAAAUGGCUACAUAUACCAAAUGUGCCCUAAAAAAUCCUCCAUUUAAAAAAAAAGACUUUUUCAGCAUUGUUUUGUUGUGUUUGACAUGAGUUCAUCUUGUUCAAACAAUUGAUCUUGGACUUCCAAUUUCAGGUUAAGGAGAUCAUGUAUCGCAUCUACAAAGCCACAAAGAGCAGCCUUAGAAGCAUGGCCCCUAAAGAAAUAAAGCUACUUAAGCAUUUGCUGAACAUUGCAGAUCCUGAGGAGCGAUUUUCAGCAUUAGCAACAGCAUUCUGUCCAGGUGAUGAACGUGAAGCCAAGGACCCUUAUGCUUUAUACACUACUCCAAAAGAACUGCACAAGUGGAUUAAGAUCAUGCUUGAUGCAUACCAUCUCAA
rnacentral:misc_RNA from 1 species